rnacentral:lncRNA from 1 species
UGAACUACCGCUCCCAGGUAUACCAGAAGCUGGACAGAGUCAAGAAAGGAUCUCUCCUAUGGCCUUUGCUGGGUGGGCUGCACUGCUAAAACCUUGACUUUGGACUUGAACCUUCCAGUGCUGAAAAGAUCGUUGCUAUUUUUAUGUGACAGAGGAGAAGCCUGGCACCAAGGGCUGGUCUAAGAAAAGCUUAGGAGAUGCCUGAAGUCACCCAUCUGUGAAGGCUUUGGAGUCAGAGCUGCAAUCCACGUUAAUCAAUGGCAAAGUCAAUGCUUUGGGUAUUUUUGGUUUUGUUUUUGGUUUUUUGUUUUUGUUUUUCAACAUCAGUUCUGAUAUAACAAUGAACAGAAAGGGCAACGUCCUUGCCAUAAGGGUUAACCUCUGUUGUGGGCCGAAUUGUCCUCCUGAAAUUCAAACAUCCAAGUUGUAACCUUUGAUGUGACUGUAUUUGGGGAAAAGAGCUUUUAAGGGAGCAAUAAAAGCUAACUGCUACUGUUA